UUUUUCCCUACGGGGGGAGCUGCAGUGGGGAAUAUUGCACAAUGGGCGCAAGCCUGAUGCAGCCAUGCCGCGUGUAUGAAGAAGGCCUUCGGGUUGUAAAGUACUUUCAGCGGGGAGGAAGGUGUUGUGGUUAAUAACCGCAGCAAUUGACGUUACCCGCAGAAGAAGCACCGGCUAACUCCGUGCCAGCAGCCGCGGUAAUACGGAGGGUGCAAGCGUUAAUCGGAAUUACUGGGCGUAAAGCGCACGCAGGCGGUCUGUCAAGUCGGAUGUGAAAUCCCCGGGCUCAACCUGGGAACUGCAUUCGAAACUGGCAGGCUAGAGUCUUGUAGAGGGGGGUAGAAUUCCAGGUGUAGCGGUGAAAUGCGUAGAGAUCUGGAGGAAUACCGGUGGCGAAGGCGGCCCCCUGGACAAAGACUGACGCUCAGGUGCGAAAGCGUGGGGAGCAAACAGGAUUAGAUACGGGG
rnacentral:rRNA from 1 species